rnacentral:rRNA from 1 species
AGAGUUGAUCAUGGCUCAGGAUGAACGCUGGCGGCGUGCCUAACACAUGCAAGUCGAACGAAGCACCUCUGGUUGAGAUUCGUCAAGAACUGGAUUUGACUUAGUGGCGGACGGGUGAGUAAUGUAUGAGCAACCUGCCUUUCAGAGGGGGACAACAGUUGGAAACGACUGCUAAUACCGCAUAAUGUAUUUUGGGGGCAUCCCCGAGAUACCAAAGGAGCAAUCCGCUGAAAGAUGGGCUCAUAUCUGAUUAGUUAGUUGGCAGGGUAACGGCCUACCAAGACUGCGAUCAGUAGCCGGACUGAGAGGUUGAACGGCCACAUUGGGACUGAGAUACGGCCCAGACUCCUACGGGAGGCAGCAGUGGGGAAUGUUGGGCAAUGGGCGAAAGCCUCGACCCAGCAACGCCGCGUGAAGGAAGAAGGUCUUCGGAUUGUAAACUUCUUUUAUGAGGGACGAAGGACGUGACGGUACCUCAUGAAUAAGCCACGGCUAACUACGUGCCAGCAGCCGC